rnacentral:rRNA from 1 species
CGUACACUCCUACGGGAGGCAGCAGUGGGGAAUAUUGGACAAUGGGCGCAAGCCUGAUCCAGCCAUGCCGCGUGAGUGAUGAAGGCCCUAGGGUUGUAAAGCUCUUUCACCGGUGAAGAUAAUGACGGUAACCGGAGAAGAAGCCCCGGCUAACUUCGUGCCAGCAGCCGCGGUAAUACGAAGGGGGCUAGCGUUGUUCGGAUUUACUGGGCGUAAAGCGCACGUAGGCGGACUAUUAAGUCAGGGGUGAAAUCCCGGGGCUCAACCCCGGAACUGCCUUUGAUACUGGUAGUCUUGAGUUCGAGAGAGGUGAGUGGAAUUCCGAGUGUAGAGGUGAAAUUCGUAGAUAUUCGGAGGAACACCAGUGGCGAAGGCGGCUCACUGGCUCGAUACUGACGCUGAGGUGCGAAAGCGUGGGGAGCAAACAGGAUUAGAUACCCCAGUAGUCCC